rnacentral:lncRNA from 1 species
UCUCUUUCUCAAUCAGCAUACUAUUUUUUUUUAAACUUUUUUAAUUCUAUUAUAUUUCUAUCUUACUUUUGAUUUUCUAUUGUAACUUUCUAAUAUGCAAUGUUUUCAACAACUUUGACACUGUAAGUUCUCUUUCUUUUGGUUUAUAUUGCUUCAUAUGAACAUCAACAAAAACUAUAAACCUUUAAUUUUUAGACUGACCUAUUUUU